rnacentral:rRNA from 1 species
UACGUAGGUGACAAGCGUUGUCCGGAUUUACUGGGCGUAAAGAGCGCGCAGGCGGUCGUUCAAGUCGGGUGUGAAAGCCCUCAGCUCAACUGAGGAAGUGCGCCCGAAACUGCAGAGCUUGAGUGCCGGAGAGGGUGGCGGAAUUCCCCAAGUAGAGGUGAAAUUCGUAGAUAUGGGGAGGAACACCGGUGGCGAAGGCGGCCACCUGGACGGUAACUGACGCUGAGACGCGAAAGCGUGGGGAGCAAACAGG